CCAAGAGUCGUAGAGCGGUCAUCUACAGCCGACUCAUAAUCGGUCAUUAGAGUGAAAUCUAAUCGCGAGUUCGAAUCUCGCCUCUUGGA
rnacentral:tRNA from 1 species